rnacentral:rRNA from 1 species
GAUGAACGCUGGCGGCGUGCUUAACACAUGCAAGUCGAACGGGAUCCCAGGAGCUUGCUCCUGGGUGAGAGUGGCGAACGGGUGAGUAAUGCGUGACCGACCUGCCCCAUACACCGGAAUAGCUCCUGGAAACGGGUGGUAAUGCCGGAUGCUCCAGUUGACCGCAUGGUCCUCUGGGAAAGAUUCAUCGGUAUGGGAUGGGGUCGCGUCCUAUCAGCUUGAUGGCGGGGUAACGGCCCACCAUGGCUUCGACGGGUAGCCGGCCUGAGAGGGCGACCGGCCACAUUGGGACUGAGAUACGGCCCAGACUCCUACGGGAGGCAGCAGUGGGGAAUAUUGCACAAUGGGCGCAAGCCUGAUGCAGCGACGCCGCGUGCGGGAUGACGGCCUUCGGGUUGUAAACCGCUUUUGACUGGGAGCAAGCCCUUCGGGGUGAGUGUACCUUUCGAAUAAGCACCGGCU